rnacentral:lncRNA from 1 species
CUACUCCCUCCUCCUGAAAAUCCCACUGUUUCCCAACAUUCUGCCCUCUGCUCUCAGGCCUCAUGGUGGUCAUUACUGCCGUUUGCCAACCCCCUCACUUCUGUGCAUGAGGUGCCUGGAACAUUCAAGAUGUCCUCUCCUCCAUCAGCAUGGGUCCCUGAGGAACCACAGGGACGGGAAGCCACCCCACGCCACAGCCAGCCUGAAGUGGACAUGCAGCACGAUGAGAAAUAAACCCAGGCGGUUUAAAAUGUUGGCAUUUUAGAGCUGUUUGUUGCUGGCGCAGAACUUAGCCCAUGUGGCAUAGAAAUGGGCCCCCGGAAGAAGGGUGCUGCUUGAACAAAAUGACACAGGACACGCACGCCAUUGGCUUGGGGGCUGCCUGUGGCCUAGUACCAGAAGCUGGCCUGAUGGCAAGCCGGGUGACGCAGCGGUGAAACAUUUGGUAAAACUCAGCCGGGAUGACUCACGAGGCAGAUGAUGUCCGAAAUAGCUCGUAGGUCUGGUGGAAGAGGUUGGGAAACAUGAGCAGCAUGUGUUGGUCACAGGCUGCAUUUGGCAAGAUACAACGAGGAAGAGAUGGGCUAAAAAAUAUUCCGGGUUUACAAGCUGGGAGGAAAAGGAACGGAGAGAGGCCAGCAAUGCUGGGACUCGGGGUUGAGUGCGCUCCUGCGCAGCCCAGAGGCUAGAUCAGACGCAGGACAGGCUGUGGCAAGGACAAUCUCAAGGAUACCGGCAUCACCCCCUGGGUAUGACUGCUGGGAGUUCCUUCUGAGCUUCCCAAAGUCCGGAGAGAGGCAGGCAGGGUGGGGCCAGGUGGGGGGAGGGAAGCACAUCCAAGCAGCCCUGAGGAAGGCACCGUGGGCGUGGCGGCAGGCCCAGGGACCUAAAAUCAAGAACAGCGGAGACUACAGUGUCCUGAGACAGUUGAACUGCCAAAGAAACCAAGAGCCCAGGCCUGUGUGUGUGACUAGAGACUUGUAAACAGCAUUGGCAGGAAGAGGCUGAGAAAGCACUUCAGCCCCCGAGGAGGGCUUCUUGGUCAGUGCCGUGUUCAGGUGUGGCCAAGAAGACAGGAAGAGGAUGGACCCUCCUGAGGGCCACAGAGAGCCCUGGACGGGCCGCCCACUCCCAGGGCAGGGCGGGCCUGGGAUCUAGGAUUGCUACAGGGCAGGGUCGGCUGGGUGCCCCUGUGUUCCUCCUUCUGCAGGGAUGUCGUGGCUGCCCGUCCCUGUUCCCUGCUGGGUAGGUGACUGGCCUCCCAGUUCACAAGUCUCUAGUGGAACCCCACCCGGCCCCCGUGCAAGGAUGUGCACAGACCUCAUUCGUGGAGUUUACCCACAAUCCUGGGCUUGGGCUUGCACCAUAACUGGAUGGGGACCGG